CGGCUGGAAUGGGGAAUUUGUGAGGUCAAGGAUGCAUUCCAGGAAAGUUCUAUAAAAAUAUACCAUCAACUCCAACCUGAUAUUUGACCUAGCCAUGGAAAACCUCAUUGGCUCCUCACUGGAUCAGACCAUAAAAAUGAUCCAGGAAUGAAAAUCUAAGAUAAAUUCCCACCACUUCAAGAUGUUCUUAUACAAGUCAACAGUCUAGCAGAUCAGCCAGUCUCUUUCAUCAUCAAGCAGACAUACUCAAGAAAGAGGAAUAGUGAAGUGAAAUACACAGAAGCAUGUUCAAGUUCAUCUGUUGAAUCUGGAAUUGUGAAUAGUGACAAUAUUGAGAAAAAUACUGACUCCAAUCUGCAAACUUCAACUUCAUUUGAGCCACAUUUCAAAAAGAAAAAAGUAAGUGCAAGACGUUAUAAUGAAGAUUACUUAAAAUAUGGCUUUAUCAAAUGUGAAAAACCCUUUGAAAAUGACAGACCUCAGUGUGUUAUUUGUAAUAAUAUUCUUGCGAAUGAAAGCUUAAAACCUUCGAAAUUAAAAAGGCACUUAGAAACUCAGCAUGCUGAACUUAUUGAUAAGCCUCUUGAAUAUUUUCAAAGAAAGAAAAAAGACAUAAAGUUAUCAACACAAUUUCUUAGUUGUUCUACUGCUGUUAGUGAGAAAGCCUUAUUAUCAUCAUAUUUAGUUGCAUAUCGUGUGGCAAAAGAGAAAAUAGCUAACACAGCUGCUGAAAAAAUUAUUCUUCCAGCAUGUUUGGAUAUGGUGCGUACAAUAUUUGAUGAUAAAUCAGCUGAUAAAUUAAAAACUAUACCUAAUGAUAACACAGUAUCUCUUCGAAUUUGUACUAUUGCAGAACAUUUAGAAACAAUGCUUAUUACUCGUUUACAGUCUGGUAUAGAUUUUGCAAUCCAGCUUGAUGAAAGCACUGAUAUUGGAAGCUGCACAACACUUUUAGUUUAUGUCAGAUAUGCGUGGCAAGAUGAUUUUUUGGAGGAUUUUUUGUGUUUUUUAAAUUUAACCUCACACCUAAGUGGUUUAGAUAUUUUUACAGAAUUAGAAAGGCACAUAGUUGGCCAAUAUAAAUUAAACUGGAAAAACUGUAAAGGAAUUACAAGUGAUGGCACAGCAACCAUGACUGGAAAACAUAGCAGAGUAAUUAAAAAAUUACUAGAAGUUACUAAUAAUGGUGCUGUGUGGAAUCAUUGUUUUAUACAUCGUGAAGGUUUAGCAUCCAGAGAAAUUCCACAGAAUCUCAUGGAAGUAUUGAAAAAUGCAGUGAAAGUUGUUAAUUUUAUUAAAGGAAGCUCAUUGAAUAGCCGGCUUCUUGAAACAUUUUGUUCAGAGAUUGGAACUAAUCAUACCCACUUACUAUAUCAUACCAAAAUUCGUUGGUUGUCUCAAGGGAAAAUACUAAGCAGGGUUUAUGAGCUCAGGAAUGAGAUUCACUUUUUUCUCAUUGAAAAAAAAUCUCAUUUGGCAAGUAUUUUUGAAGAUGAUACUUGGGUAACAAAAUUGGCAUAUUUAACUGAUAUUUUUAGCAUUCUUAAUGAACUGAGUUUAAAACUACAGGGGAAAAACAGUGAUGUAUUCCAACAUGUUGAACAUAUCCAGGGAUUUCGAAAGACAUUAUUGUUAUGGCAAGUAAGACUUAAAAGUAAUCGUCCUAGCUAUUACAUGUUUCCAAGAUUUUUGCAGCAUAUUGAAGAGAAUAUUAUUAAUGAAAACAUUUUGAAAGAAAUAAAAUUAGAGAUAUUGUUGCAUCUCACUUCUCUGUCUCAAACUUUUAACCAUUUCUUUCCAGAAGAAAAAUUUGAAACAUUAAGGGAAAACAGUUGGGUAAAAGAUCCAUUUGCUUUUCGAAACCCUGAAUCAAUAAUUGAGCUAAACUUGGUGCCUGAAGAAGAGAAUGAAUUAUUGCAGCUUAGUUCUUCAUAUACAUUGAAGAAUGAUUAUGAAACCUUAAGUUUAUCAGCAUUUUGGAUGAAGGUAAAGGAAGACUUUCCAUUGUUAAGUAGAAAGAGUGUCCUGCUAUUGCUACCAUUCACAACAACUAGUUUGUGUGAACUAGGGUUUUCCAUCUUAACGCAGUUAAAAACAAAGGAAAGAAAUGGGCUGAAUUGUGCAGCAGCUAUGCGGGUAGCAUUAUCUUCCUGUGUUCCAGACUGGAAUGAACUUAUGAACAGGCAAGCACACCCAUCAUAGUAAAUAAAAAUCUUA
rnacentral:lncRNA from 1 species